rnacentral:rRNA from 1 species
UACAGAGGGUGCGAGCGUUAAUCGGAAUUACUGGGCGUAAAGCGUGCGUAGACGGUCAAGUAAGUCGGGUGUGAAAGCCCCGGGCUCAACCUGGGAAUUGCAUUCGAGACUGCGUGGCUAGGGUGCGGAAGAGGGAAGCGGAAUUUCCGGUGUAGCGGUGAAAUGCGUAGAUAUCGGAAGGAACACCAGUGGCGAAAGCGGCUUCCUGGUCCAGCACCGACGUUCAGGCACGAAAGCGUGGGGAGCAAAAGGG